rnacentral:lncRNA from 1 species
ACAGGUGAGAUAUGGACAGGUGAGACAGGUGAGACAGGUGAGCAGCAGCCGCUCACCUGCCAGCACCCACAGCGUGCCGUUCACCACCGGGGUGCGCGGGGCGUCU